CAGGGAUUGCCCUAGUAACGGCGAGUGAAGCGGCAACAGCUCAAAUUUGAAAUCUGGCGUCUUUGGCGUCCGAGUUGUAAUUUGCAGAGGGCGCUUUGGCAUUGGCAGCGGUCCAAGUUCCUUGGAACAGGACGUCACAGAGGGUGAGAAUCCCGUACGUGGUCGCUAGCCUUUACCGUGUAAAGCCCCUUCGACGAGUCGAGUUGUUUGGGAAUGCAGCUCUAAAUGGGAGGUAAAUUUCUUCUAAAGCUAAAUACUGGCCAGAGACCGAUAGCGCACAAGUAGAGUGAUCGAAAGAUGAAAAGCACUUUGGAAAGAGAGUUAAAAAGCACGUGAAAUUGUUGAAAGGGAAGCGCUUGCAGCCAGACUUGCCUGUAGUUGCUCAUCCGGGUUUUUACCCGGUGCACUCUUCUAUAGGCAGGCCAGCAUCAGUUUGGGCGGUUGGAUAAAGGUCUCUGUCAUGUACCUCUCUUCGGGGAGAACUUAUAGGGGAGACGACAUGCAACCAGCCUGGACUGAGGUCCGCGCAUCUGCUAGGAUGCUGGCGUAAUGGCUGUAAGCGGCCCGUCUUGAAACACGGACCAAGGAGUCUAACAUCUAUGCGAGUGUUUGGGUGUCAAGCCCGAGCGCGUAAUGAAAGUGAACGGAGGUGGGAACCUUUCGGGGUGCACCAUCGACCGAUCCUGAUGUCUUCGGAUGGAUUUGAGUAAGAGCAUAGCUGUUGGGACCCGAAAGAUGGUGAACUAUGCUUGAAUAGGGUGAAGCCAGAGGAAACUCUGGUGGAGGCUCGCAGCGGUUCUGACGUGCAAAUCGAUCGUCAAAUUUGGGCAUAGGGGCGAAAGACUAAUCGAACUAUCUAGUAGCUGGUUCCUGCCGAAGUUUCCCUCAGGAUAGCAGUAACGUUUUCAGUUUUAUGAGGUAAAGCGAAUGAUUAGAGGCCUGGGGGUUGAAACAACCUU
rnacentral:rRNA from 2 species